AUGUGGGGUCAGGAGGGCAGUAUGUGCAGUCAGGAGGGCAGCAUGUGUGGGCCAGGAUUGGAUCAUGUGAGGGUCAGGAGGGAAGCAUUUGCAGGUCAGGAGACCAGCAUGUGGGGCUCAGGAGGGCAGCAUGUGCCAGUCAGGAGGGUACCUUAUGCGGGUCAGGAGGGCAGCCCAUGUGGGCAGGAAGGGCAGCAUGUGAGGGUCAUGAGGGUAGCAUGUCAUGGUCCAAAGCGCAUGGUGGCUGCUAUCAGGAAGAAACUGGUGAUUGUUGGUGAUGGAGCUUGUGAGAAGACAUGCUUGCUCAUAGUCUUCAACAAGGACCAGUUCCAAGAGGUGUAUGUGCCUACAGUGUUUGAGAACUACGUGGCAGAUAUUGAGGUGGGUGGCAAGCAGGAGCCAGUAUAACCUGAAGAAGCAGAGAUAUGGCAAACAGGAUUGGUGCUUUUGGGUACAUGGAGUGUUCAGCAAAGACCAAAGAUGGAGGGAGGAAGGUUUUUGAAAUGGCUACAAGAGCUGCUCUGCAAGCCAGAUGUGGGAAGAAAAAAUCUGGGUGCCUUGUCUUGUGAAAACUUGCUGCAAGCACAGCCCUUAAGCAGUUAAUUUUGAAGUGCUGUUUAUUAAUCUUAGAGUAUGAUUACUGGCCUUUUUCAUUUAUCUAUAAUUUACCUAAGAUUACAAAUCAAAAGUCAUCUUGCUACCAGUAUUUAGAAGCCAACCAUGAUUAUUAAUGACGUCCAAUUUGUCUGGCCCAUCAGGGUCUUUCUGACAUUGCUCUAACACCCCUCUUCUGCACUCCCACCUGACACACCAGGCGCUAAUUCAAGGAAUUUCUUAAUAACAUCUUGCUUCUUUCUAGAAAGAGAAACAGUUGGUAACUUUUGUGAAUUAGGCUGUAACUACUUCAUAAGUAACAUGUUCUGCCUAUCUGUCAGCUGCAAGGUACUCCGGUGAGUCACUACUUCAGAGCUUUACUCCUUAACAGAUCUCAUUGGCAUAGUUCCAGGGUGGACAUCCAGUUUUUUGAAAAUGUGCUCAGCAGCCAGAAAGGCCCAAAUCCAUGCAGCUAUGGCAGAGUUACAGUUCUGUGGUUUCAUGUUAGUUACCUUACACUUAAUGGGUAAUUAGUGCCACUGGAUGUAUGUUACCAAGAAUAAAUAUAUCUACC